rnacentral:tRNA from 1 species
AGAGUUGAUGAGAAAACGCAAGGUUAUCAGUAAAUUUUUACCGGUCUUGAAAACCGGCGUGCGGGAAACCGUACCGUGGGUUCGAAUCCCACCUCUUCCGCCA